rnacentral:tRNA from 1 species
GGCCCGUUCGUCUAGGGGUUAGGACGCCAGAUUUUCAUUCUGGUAGCACGGGUUCGAAUCCCGUACGGGCUACAA